CCGAGUGGCGCCGCUGAUCCUGACUGUCCCAUAUUUUAAAACCUGGCUGGAAAUUGUGGUGGCAUUGCACUGGUUGUUACGAACAGCUGCAGCAUCAAGAUGGAAUUCUAGUUAGCCCAGAAGCAGCCAUUCGGGUUCAGGCAGAAAAGGAGAUUGCCGUCGGUGUGACGCAUUCCCAGACCGUCCCCCAAACUCAACACCAGCAACUUCUCUGUGACUGGGUCCAGAUAAAGGUCCUUUCAAGACUGACGUCACUGGAUCUACUCCACCAGGUCUUCCUGACCCUACUGUAUCACUGUAGUGUUUCUGGCGAGACUGCCCGCACCAACAGAAGACUCACCGGAUCCACCAGCACAUCUUUCACCAGCAAGCAUCUUACCAGCAGAGCACAGCCUCUGUAUGAUUCUGCCUCCAGCUGACACUGACAGGAAAAGGCAUCCGGCUUGGAUUAGAGGCCUGGCUUUCUUUAGAAGGAGCUAUUCUGUGAUCUGUGCUGCUAGUAAGUGACUGACGUGUUGUAGACUGGACUGGUCCCUGAGUACAGAGACUGAGUUGCAAUUGAGUGAAGAAUAAACAAGAUCUGGAAGAACAGCACUAAGGUGCAAGCCAGGUUCAGCAGUCCAGUAUUGCUGCACUGACAAGUGGCUAAAGGAAACUGUAACGGGACUGAUUGUCGCUUACUGCUUUCCUCUCUGUCAUUGUUGCUUUUUGUUGUUCCAUUGCUUUGUGUUGUCUUUCUAAGCCCAGAUGUUCUCUGAUAAUUCACACUGCCCUGAUUGUGGGCAGCAGUGGUUCCCUAGUUUAGAACUAGGCCACUGGUUGUACCAAACUGAACUUGUUGAAAAUGAAUGUUACCAAGUGUUCUUAGACCGUAUUAACAGGGCUGAUUAUUGCCCUGAAUGUUACCCUGACAAUCCUGCUAACAGAAGCCUUGUUCUGCCUUGGUCUUUCCCACUUGAGUGGGCACCUCAGAAUCUCACCAGGUGGACCUUUGAGAAAGCUUGCCAUCCAUUUCUUCUGGGCCCUCCACUGGUUAGAAAAAAGAUACAUGACUCCAGGGUAGCUGGGUUUAAUCCUGCGUUACAGUUAAUCUUGAGCAGAACAGACAAAACCUUAAACAAGAAACUUGGCCAAAGCAAGUGACUUCUGUAACAGAAUCAUGGAGACUCUCAAGGGCUUUGUGUUCAUAGCCUAGUGGAGGAGAAGAAUUAACUUGUUUCUGUUUUCCUUCUCUUUUUCUUUCUUAAUUUUUUUUAAGGUGCUGGGGAUUGGAUCUGGGUGCCUUGUGCAUGCUAGGCAAGUGCCCUUCCACUGAGUUAAAACCAAGGCUCCCCUUUCUAAGGCUGACUCAGACUGCUGUCACUACUCUGUCAACUGCUUCAAUCGUUGGGUCUGCUUCUGUGGUCUAUGCAUAUUUUAGCAUAAAUUUAGUUGAAAUGGCAGCCAGUGUAUUUACCUAGACCCACACUAACCUAUAGCCCCUAUAAAUGCUUUAGAACUACCUGGCCCCUCCUGAAAAUUGCCACAGCCUAAGUAUUGACAAGAUAAUGUGGUCCUAGCAGGGAGGCCCCAUGGUGUAUGCCUCAUUAAGUGUUUUUCUAUCAGUACCUGUUAUGAGAACAUGUUCUUGUAGCUGGAUUCUAGAUUAUUCUAAUAAAUUUUAAUACACUACAUUGUUCUAAUUUUCUCUAAUAUAUUGAUCAAUAAUGAGAGAUGUGUGUAUGUACAUGUAAAUUUUUUUUCAUAUAGAUAACCAUUCUUUGACACUGUUUUAUCCUCAGUGUAAGUAUUACAGUGUUGAUAACUGGUCCUGUCACAUACUAUUUGGCAAUACCUACACAGGUUGCAAAAGAUGUGUUAAUGCUACCAGUUUACAAUUAUUCGUCUCUAUAUAACCAAAGACUGUCUUGUCUUGUGGUGACGGAACUCAAUGGCCUCCCAUGGAAGGGGAAUUUAUAACAGAUGAUAAAGCUUGACUCCAUAUAAUUGAAGAAUAAUUUAGACCUAGUGGAUGCUCUGUCUUAAACAUAAGAAUGUGCUGUUGAACCUCAGCCACAUUCUAGGAUUCAUUUGGAGUUAAGCAGCUUAGACGAAGCCCCUGGAAACAUCCAAGAAGCCACUGAACAUUUUAAAAUUCCAGGUGAGCCAGUGCCUGUGUAGAAGCAGAAAUGUCAAGGACCCGGGUUCUUCUCUUUCCUCUCUGGGGUCUUUAUAGUCUCUGUUCUCGUGACAGUUUUUAAAUGGGUUCAGUAUGGUUUGUUGUGCCAGAUAUUUCCAUUGCAACCAGAAGCAGGGGGCACCUGGCUUGCUUUCUUACACGUCUUAAUUUGGAAAUAAAAUCUUCUUAAAGCGA
rnacentral:lncRNA from 1 species